CUCAACUGCUUAUACUGAAAAGGAAAAAGAAUAAGACACAUCUCUUUAGUUGAAACAGAGGCAAGACCUGAGAGACUAGUUCAGUUUUUUUUUCUUCUCAAGCUUGGACCUUGUUAGACUUGAGUGGCUUCACAACCUCCCAGGUGAAGUCAGCAUCGUCCCUUCCAAAAUGACCAUAAGCAGCAGUCUUCAAGAACCUACCAUUACCACCUCUCUUCAAAUCCAAGUUGAUCGAAAUCAUCCCCGGUCUGAAGUCAAAACUCUCCUUCACAAUCUCAAGAAUCUCCUUGUCUGGUAUCUUCCCUGUUCCGUAGCUGUCCACGAACACAGACAACGGCUCAGGGACACCAAUGGCGUACGAGACCUGCACAAUGCAACGCCUCGCUAGCCCACUGGCAACAAUACUCUUAGCCGCUUGCCUCACGAUGUAGGCACCGCUCCUGUCGACCUUGGUCGGGUCCUUCCCGGAGAAAGCGCCACCUCCGUGCGCGCCCCAACCACCGUAAGUGUCGAUGAUGAUCUUACGCCCGGUGAGUCCAGCGUCACCGUGAGGACCUCCGAUGACAAACCGACCAGAAGGGUUGAGAUGGAAGAUUGUCUUCUCGUCAAGGUACUUCUCUGGGAUCACUUUGAUCACUCAUUAGCCAAAACAUUUGACAUUUGAUAAUGCAAUACAAGGGAUGAUAAUAUUGAAUAUAAUCUAUAUAUAUAAUUCUCUAGUGAAAAGACAAGAAAAUACAAAAUAUGACUUUUAACUUUCUUACCACAACAAUAACAUACAAGGAUGAUAAUAUUGAAUAUAAUCUUUCAUAUAUCUUCUGAAAAGAAACAAGAGAUACAAAAUAUGACUUUUAACUUUCUUACCACAACAAUAACAUAUGAUAAUAAAUAAUAAUAAUAUAAAUUCUCAACUGCUUAUACUGAAAAGGAAAAAGAAUAAGACACAUCUCUUUAGUUGAAACAGAGGCAAGACCUGAGAGACUAGUUCAGUUUUUUUUUCUUCUCAAGCUUGGACCUUGUUAGACUUGAGUGGCUUCACAACCUCCCAGGUGAAGUCAGCAUCGUCCCUUCCAAAAUGACCAUAAGCAGCAGUCUUCAAGAACCUACCAUUACCACCUCUCUUCAAAUCCAAGUUGAUCGAAAUCAUCCCCGGUCUGAAGUCAAAACUCUCCUUCACAAUCUCAAGAAUCUCCUU
rnacentral:lncRNA from 1 species